UACGUAGGGAGCAAGCGUUGUCCGGAAUCAUUGGGCGUAAAGAGCUCGUAGGCGGCUCAGUAAGUCAGGUGUGAAACCUCCAGGCUCAACCUGGAGACGCCACCUGAUACUGCUGUGGCUAGAGUCCGGUAGGGGAGCGUGGAAUUCCUGGUGUAGCGGUGAAAUGCGCAGAUAUCAGGAGGAACACCAGCGGCGAAGGCGGCGCUCUGGGCCGGAACUGACGCUGAGGAGCGAAAGCGUGGGUAGCAAACAGG
rnacentral:rRNA from 1 species